rnacentral:rRNA from 1 species
GAUGAACGCUGGCGGCGUGCCUAAUACAUGCAAGUCGAGCGAACAGAUAAGGAGCUUGCUCCUUUGACGUUAGCGGCGGAAGGGUGAGUAACACGUGGGUAACCUACCUAUAAGACUGGGAUAACUUCGGGAAACCGGAGCUAAUACCGGAUAAUAUUUCGAACCGCAUGGUUCGAUAGUGAAAGAUGGUUUUGCUAUCACUUAUAGAUGGACCCGCGCCGGAUUAGCUAGUUGGUAAGGUAACGGCUUACCAAGGCGACGAUACGUAGCCGACCUGAGAGGGUGAUCGGCCACACUGGAACUGAGACACGGUCCAGACUCCUACGGGAGGCAGCAGUAGGGAAUCUUCCGCAAUGGGCGAAAGCCUGACGGAGCAACGCCGCGUGAGUGAUGAAGGUCUUCGGAUCGUAAAACUCUGUUAUUAGGGAAGAACAUACGUGUAAGUAACUGUGCACGUCUUGACGGUACCUAAUCAGAAAGCCACGGCUAACUACGUG